CGAGUCAGGCUCUUACUGCUCCGGCAGACAGCGAAGGUAGUUUUGAGCUGUGAGCGUAAACUCGAUUUGUGUCAUAUCAUGCCACACUUCAGAAUGAGCUCAGUCAAUAGUCUAUCAGGCUGGCAGCUGCAGGAAUGCACACAGAGAAAAUGAGGACAAGCGGGGGGGAAAAAAGACAGAAAAAUCCUGACAGGCUGCCAGAACAGAAAGAAGUGAAGUAACAUAAUCAUUCGCAGAGCAUGAAGGUGUCUCGAAAAUUGAGUGUGAAAACCAACUCACAUGACCGCAGCAGCGACAUGCCCUAAAUUUCCCUCUCCCCCUUCUGCUUUAAGAGCAAGUAUAAAUGAUUAUUAAUGCAUUAUUCACAAAACAGAACCUUCUCCCCCAAUUUUUUUUUCUCCACUGAUGUGCGCCUUCUCCCUUUGAUGAUAUAACCAAAGUAAGAGGGGAGAAAAGUGAGGGAGCACAGAGACGGAGAAGUUCAGAGGAUGGCUUUUUUCUCUUGGGAAUGCAGAGCUCUCAUCCCAAAGGGAAUCCUGCACUCUUCUGAAACAGUCUGAAUCUUCCCGUAGACCAAACAGCAGCAUUUACAUAUCACUCACAUAACCUCUCUCUCCGCCAUGACUGCAACAAAUGCCGACACCGUCAGCGCUUAUAUCCUCUGGCUGGCUUUCCAUGACACAGCUGGAUCACCUGCCUGUGUCUACAUUUACAUCAUACACUCGCACAAGGUUUUAGACUGAGUCACCGUCCAGGGCAGAGGUGUCAAACAUAAGGCCCUGGGGCCAGAAUUGGCCCAGAAAAGACUCCAAUCCGGACCACUGGACAGUUUUGGGAAAACAUGACGGCAGGAAUAAAGUUUUGAACUUUUUGAAGUUUUACAGCUGCUUUUCCUGCUGAUAAAGACCUCCCUCACAGGCAUUUAUACUACACCAAAGUAGUUAAAUAAUAUUUAAAAAAAUGACAUGACAAAAAAAAAUCAUGCUUUUAAUUGGCUAAUAUAGAAAUUUUGGUUAAAAGUUCAAGUUUUAGAAAUACGAAACAGUCCGGGCAGUGAGCUACCAGAACCUUUUCUGUAAUUGUACACUUUUAUCAUGUAGAAUAAUUGAAAUGUGAUGGUGUAAUUGUACCUCUUCAUUUUAUUUAUUAAGAUAUCUCAGGGAUUAAAUGUGUAGUUAAACAUCUUUACACUGACACUUGAUGUAAAAUAAGUUUGACACCCGGGCUUAAAUAUAACUGGACUUAAAAUAUGUACAAGUGUGGCCUUUUCAUCAGUUAGUUAAGCAGUUAAAAUGUCAGCAUGUGAUUAGAAGUGUAACAUUUGAAUUUGGAAACUCUCUCAACCCAACUUGUAGUAGAAGAAGCUCUUUUAGAAGAGAAGUCCUGGGGCUGCAAAAAGGAUGGAAAAAAAAAACACAACAACACAAAAAGGCCUGGAUGUUGACUGAAGAUAGGAGUGGUGGAUGAUCAUGGGAUCCUUUCCAUAGCAAAGACCUCUUCAGAUAUAUAACACAUAAAAUCAAGUGAAGAAUGCGCUCACUAUGUGGCAGGGUGUUUUAAAGGGAAAACAAGAAAAACCAGCCAUCAGCUGCAAGAACAGAAAAAAACAGAUUAGGCUUUGCAAAAACAUCUAAAACAGCAGACCGGCGCUGGAACUGCAUUCUUUGGAUAUCUUAAAGAGAAUGACACGUCCUCUGUAAAACAGACUGGAGCCAGUGUGAUGUAUGGACAUGCAUAGCUUCCAGUGGCGCUGGGUCACUCGUGUUUAUUAG
ensembl:lncRNA